rnacentral:rRNA from 1 species
AACGAACGCUGGCGGCGUGGAUAAGACAUGCAAGUCGAACGGGGUUACUUUUGGUAGCAAUACCGAGAGUGACUUAGUGGCGAACGGGUGCGUAACACGUGGGCAAUCUGCCUUAAAGUGGGGGAUAGCUCGGCGAAAGCCGAAUUAAUACCGCAUGUGAUCAGCUAAGACAUCUUAGCGACAUCAAAGUUGGUUGUAGCAAUACAGCUAACGUCUUUUUGAGGAGCCCGCGGCCUAUCAGCUAGUUGGCGAGGUAACGGCUCACCAAGGCUUUGACGGGUAGCUGGUCUGAGAGGACGACCAGUCACACUGGAACUGAGACACGGUCCAGACACCUACGGGUGGCAGCAGUCGAGUAAUUUUUCU